rnacentral:lncRNA from 1 species
AGGGCCGUUUGACUUUGGUGUAAGCGGAGGGUGGAACUCAAGUUCUACAUUUUUAGUAUUUAUUUUAGUAAAAAUAAAAAAUGUAAUAUAACUCAAGUUACGUUAGACAUCCGCUUCAUCUACUCUUAAUUCCCACUUUAGAGUGUCAAACGUAAGUUCCACCAUACUUAAUUUUGUAAAAAAAAUUUAUUAAAUAUUAAAAUCUAAACUCUACUUCCUUUAGAGUGGGUUAGAGUUGUUUUUUUGUAAUAGAUUAAGAUUAUUUUCAAACAAUAAUUAAAGAUUUAAGUAUUUAAUAGGUUGGAUUUUAUAGGAGUAAGUUUAACAUUAUAUUUAGGAGGUAAUGGAAUCUACUUAUUUACAUCAAAACAAAUAAUGGAAAUCAAAAAAUUAAUUUCACUAGCAUCAAAUUACGCCAAAACAAAUAAAAAAAAUAAUUGAAUUUAAUUUUCAGACUGUAUGAGUUACAUCAAAACAAACAAUCAAAAAAUAAGAGUUAAUUGCAUACAACUUCCUGUAAAUAUAGCGAAUUGCAAAUAUACCGCUACAAAGUUCAACUUUUUUAUGUUAUACCUGCAAAAGUUUUAAUAUUUUUAAAUAUACCUCUGCCGUUAGGAUAUAUUAGAAAAUUUUAGUUAAUCAUAGAUAGAAUACUUAACCUUGGUUAGUCAAUGAGGUAAAUUGACGUUUUUACUCCUCUUAUAUUAUAACUUCUUCUUUCAAUCAAAACCCUAGCAAUGAAAAUUCUUCUUCUUCCUCUCUUUCCUUCAUGCUAGUUUCGAAUCCAUAAUUAGAAUUUUUUCGUCUCCAUCCAUCCACGAUGCGUGUUGUUUUACCCAUGUCGAUCGCAUGUUGUUUUUUCAUUUAAUUUUCUCUAUAAUUUUUUCUUAUUUUGCUCGAAAGAAAAGAUUUAGGAGAAAAAGAGUGAGAGAAGAGAUUGCAACAAUGGUAGAUUGGGUUGGGUUUUAAAAAGGAAGAAGAUAAGAAAGAAGAUAACCAUUGAAAAUUUUUUUGGGGGACAUUUCUAAACGAUUAUAGCAGUAGGGGUUUUUAGAAAGAUAUAUUUAUGAUAGCAAAAUUGACAUUUCACUUAUCUACUGUUAAAAAAUAACAGUUCUCUAACAAUAACAAACUAGAAGGACAAAUAUUAUCACUGAAUUUUUACAGGCAUAACAUAAAAAAGUUGAACUUUAUAGCAAUAUAUUUGCAAUUCACUAUGUUUACAGGGUACUAUAUGCAAUUAAUCCAAAAAAUAAUUAUAGUUCAGGAAAACUCAAACAUCACUACGCUUGAGUUAUGUUAAAUCUAGAUAUUCAUCAAUCCAAACGCCCCGUAAAAGGUAAAGGAACCUGAAAAAAAUUUACCUAAAAAAUGAUUAAUAAAGAUUGGUCAUCCUUCAGAAUAAGCUGGUAGUUU